ACCAACAGGCACACACAGAAGCAUGAAAUAAUGGUGCAACAGAACAGCGCUGGACUAAGAAGUCAGGGAGCUAACUUCUAAUCUAGCCUUCUUCACUUCAUAUCUAUGAGUAUGGGGUUCUAUUCUGAUGAGCCUAGGAAAAGAGAGAAUGCAUGAAACCAUUAGCCCAGCCUCCAUCUGAUCACACUUGCCACCUUCAUCUUCAGAAAUGACAGGGCAGCCGCCUUGCCUUGAUCCAUACAAUUCCACCAGGGCCUGGUCAGAUCAUCAUGAUGUCAACAGCCAUUUUGUGGAUCAUUCCCAGUGGCUUUGUUUUUUGCAACAUAUAUUCUCUCAUUUAAUCUUCACAACAGCCCUAAUAAAUAGCUAUCAUAUUCCAUGCUACAGAUGAGGACAUUGAGGAACACAUGUUGCUGAGGGUUAUCACAAGCUGGUAAGUGACAAGUUGGGCACUCAAAAUUAGGUUUUCCAAUGCACAGCUCCUUCCUCCUUCCCAAAGCUGCAGAGUGAAAUGGGUGUGAUGGAAUGAGUCACUAUCUGAAAAUGCUGGGUCGACAUGCGCCAAGUUGGAGGAGUUAACAUUGGUGGUCCCUGACUUGUUUUUCCCUUAAGGGGUAAUAAUGAACAAACCUUAACCUGUUAAGCAUCCGCGUGCACAUAGUAUUACAUCUGAUUUCUAAUUUUUCCAACAACUCUGAAAGCGAGCUGAGCUCAAAGAGAUUAAGGAACCAGCCUGAGGAUACCCAGGCAGUAGCUGGUAGAGCUGUAGGCCCUACCCAGGUUCCUCUGGCUCCGUGGUUCCCUCUCCCCACUCUGCAAUUCUCUCUAGUAAUGUCAAUUGUUGGGCCCUAGGGGUGAGAUUUUACCACCAUACCAUCUGAGUACCUACCCUGCACAGAAUCCUGCUUACCCCAUCUGAGUCUCUGGCACAGGAACCAACAGCACGAAGUUGGCCUCAGCUUCACCUCCCAUCACCUGAGCAUCACCUGAGCCCACCAGUUGCCGUCCCUGCUUCAAACGCAUAAGAUCCUCAUGAGCUGCCCUGCUCACUAGGCCUUGAAAUUGCCAUAUUUUGUAUCACUUUCAACACUUCCUUAUGGACAAGGGAUACCUUGAGGGCAGAGCUUAUGUGGGGAAUGUUUCUGUUUGCUCAUGGCACCUGGUAUAAAGCCUUUCUUAUAAAAUCCUGAGAAUAAAUACAUUUAUGCUCAGUGCUUUGGGAAUUGUGAUGAAGCAUGCUGUGCUUCAUUAACGUGUUUCUCCAUUCUUGCAUGGAAGAGGCUAUGAAAUUUAAGGGUUGAGCAGGAAGAAACUAGGUUGUGAGCAACUGGAGAACAGGAACAAUGUCUGAUUCAAGGUCUAAUGCUUAGGCCAAAAGCCCUUCCCCUAGCGCUUAGGACCUCAAUGAACAAACAGACUUCAGCAAGUCCAAUAACCCCCUAAACAUAUAUGUAAAUGUUUUUGAGGAUGUUCAUUUCUACACUUGUCUACCGCAAAAACCCAGAGCUUUCAUUUGAUUCUCAAAGCGUGUUAAGACUCACUCUCCAAGUACAUAGUAGAUGCACACUCAUAUAUCCAACAUAUGUGAAUGAGCACUUCCUCAGAACCAUUUGCUCUAUGGAUUGAUGAAGGAAGGAAAAGAGGUGUGCAAGGUGCAGACUUUUAAAGUCAGAUUCAUUUAUUUCACUGGUUUUAGUUAAAGCUUUUGAGAUACUGUUAGAGGGUCAAGUCCUUCUUCCCAAUUAGAGUCCCCCUUGAGUCAUUUUAAAGGCCAAAUUUUAAAAGCAGCAAUAUUACACAAGUUUCAGGCUAGAAACCGGGACACCUGAAUUCUGAUUCCAGAGUUGUUACUGAUUAGUCAGAGUGGCCUUAGGCAAGUCCCUGAAAGCAGGUGGUUUGUGACACUUAAAGUCUGCCACAACCCAAUGACAGAUGACUUUUCCAUAGGAGAACAAAUUUAUUAUUUUUUAAAUGUAUGGAAAAGUAAAAUAUAACCAUAAUUAAUAAAUGUUAUAUUGAC